AUUCCAUGAUGGGGACAAAGCCUUAGCAUAUCCUUGUAUCUCUCCCACGCUUCAAAAAGUUAUUCAUUGUCCUUCUGCCUAAAUCCGUUGAUUUGGGCUCUUAGCAU